rnacentral:rRNA from 1 species
GACGAACGCUGGCGGCGUGCCUAAUACAUGCAAGUCGAACGCAGUGGGUACGGCUUAGUACCACGUGGUUAACCUCCCAUCAGAGGGGAUAACACUUGGUAACAGGUGCUAAACCGUUACUGAUGGAUGAACCCGCGGUUCAUUAGCUAGUUGUUGAGGUAACGCCCCACCAAGGCAACGAUGCAGAGCCGACGGGGUAGGGGGAUCGGCCACACUGGGACUGAGACACGGCCCAGACUCCUACGGGAGGCAGCAGUAGGGAAUCUGCGGCAAUGGACGAAAGUCUGACCGGGCAACGCGGGGGGAGGGAAGAAGGUUUUCGGAUCGUAAGACUCUGUUGUUAGAGAAGCGGUAUCUAACCAGAAAGCAACGGCUAACUACGUGCCAGCAGCCGCGGUAAUAC